rnacentral:lncRNA from 1 species
CUUGCCCUGCUGCUUCUGACAAACUAUUUGUAGGAAAAUGAGAUUUGGUCCGCGCUGGAUGGCUCCUCUGGGAGGCAGGCGUGGGGGUCGGGUGUCGGAGGCCCCGUGCGCCCCCCCACCCCCCACCAGAGCCCACGGCGCUCACGGAGCUCUUUAAGAUAAAUGAGCAAAAUUAAGAGACUCACUGGGGGAAGAAAACACUGGAUGGGAGCGAGCGAGAGCGGAUGGUACUUGGUUUCCUCCCAGAAAUGCAUCCACGUGCGCCCCACUGGGGCCUCCCCCAUCUGCUGCAGACUCCAGGGAACUUCCUCCCCUCAAAGACGAACUUCCAGCCCUGGAGCAUGUUUCUUCCUUUCCUGGGAUGUGGCGCUGAAAAGGGCAGAAACCUCUAGUAAGGCACAAGCAACAGAUUGGGGGUGGAGCAGCAGGUCUCUUUGGAGGUGGCCUGGAAGAAACCGGACAGAGAGGAUGGGAAGGGGAGAAACAGAAGAGUGUGACGAGAUCAUGAAGGAAAGAGGAGGCGUCUACUGAAUGUAAGGUAGAGCCAAAGGCAUCUAUUGAUGACUGAAGAAGAGGCAUGAAUAUGACAAAAACAGGAAGGUGCGAGUCAGAGCCAGAUUCCUGACUAAAUGGAGGGAUGCAAUGAGAAAUUCAUAAUAAGAAAUUAUUUUGUUGUCAUCUAUCAU